CCCACAUUCGAGUCUGUUACAGAGGAAGAGAAUUCAUGGGAACUGCGUCUGCUCGUACAGAGGUUCAUGCCUAAACCGCUAAACUAUUUUCCUCGGUCCGUAAAGAAGCUGAUUGGUGCCUCCUGGAUCAGAUAUGAACAAAAGCUGGGAGAUGGGUCCAAGAAAGGUAGGAAGAGCCCUUCUACAAGCAGCACCACAGACCGCCAGUGUGGUAACGCACGCAGGAACCGGACACCUGAGGAACGUUCUGUGAGAUAAAGGAGACCUGAAGGCGAAGGGCUCACUUCCAUCCCGGGGCGCCGUGCCAUCGCCUUGUUGGCCUGCAGCCGCUCUGGGCCAGGCCUGGCAGCCCAGCUCAGCCAAACCAGGACUAGCACAUUCCAAGCUUUGCCAUGCCGGACGUUCGGCGUGAGAUGCAGCCGCUCUCUGGUUCCACCAGCCCGCCCCAGGAGAGGCAGGUUCCGUUGCCCCCAGCCUGACUUCCCUCUUUGCCCUCCCUGCAUGACGUUUAUUGGAAGGUGAACGAAAAGUUGUCUUGCUCUGCCCUCUUAUGAUAGGAUCAUAUUUCCAGCUGGUUUUCAUGAGGUUGGAAAGCCACCUGCUCACAGGCAGGUGUGAACAUACUUUGUCUCGUGCGGGGUCAAAACACAGCUGCUUCCUGAGGUUUGAGCGAGCAGCAGCCACCUCCAACCGCGUUUCCUAUCUGCACAGAAGCAAAGAGACCAGGGAAGCGUUUUUGCAAAAGAGAUUAUGUUCUUAAUACCGGGAGCUCCUCCGGCCAGGAACAAUCUUUCUUAAGCGGUUGGGAAGCAGUCAGCAAAUUUCACAUUCUUAACGAAACGAAAGGCAGCGCCUCAAAAUCCAGACCCAGUUUUACGGAGUGACAAAGCGUUGCAGUGUGCCAAGCUGUGCUUCUGCUGUUGAACACACAGGAAACACGCUCAGAUACGAUGAAGAUACGCGGCCGAGUGAAACAACAGCGUUGGGAAGCGGAAAGCGGAGAUGUUGAUGUUACGGCAGUUUGCAGUUACACUUCUACCAUCUUUGACUCCAUCCAGGGUCACACACUCAUUCACAUUUGUCCAGCGCAAUGGUGCACUUCCAAGCCUUUGUGUAAUUAAAAAUAACUAUUACAACUGUGUAAUAACAUUAAUUAUCAAAACUACUCUGUAGAAAGUAAACUCAAACAUCCUAAGACUUUAGGAUUGCCAAUUUCUAGCAGCAUAGCCAGCCUUAAAACUUCAAAAAUCAC
rnacentral:lncRNA from 1 species